UACGGGGGGUGCGAGCGUUGUCCGGAAUCACUGGGCGUAAAGGGCGCGUAGGUGGUCUUGUAAGUCUGUGGUGAAAGCCCGGGGCUCAACCCCGGGUCUGCCGUGGAUACUGCGAGACUUGAGUACUGUAGAGGCAGGUAGAAUAUCGGGUGUAGCGGUGGAAUGCGUAGAGAUCCGAUAGAAGACCGGUGGCGAAGGCGGCCUGCUGGGCAGUAACUGACACUGAGGCGCGACGAGCGUGGGGAGCAAACAGG
rnacentral:rRNA from 1 species